rnacentral:rRNA from 1 species
UCUCUCAGUAAUGGCGAAUGAACAGGGAUUAUGCUCAAGAUGCAAUCCGGCGCAUGCGCCCUGAAAUGUAGUCUGUGAAUGUGUCGUAUACGGCGACGCGAAGGAAGAUCUCUUGGGAAGGAGUGGUGAUAACGGUGAAACCCCUGCCCCCUGCGCAGAUCGCCGCUUGUUGCACACAAACUCAAAGUCGCGUUUCUCGGGAUUUGAACGUAAAUAAGGUGGUAACCAUCAUCUAAAGCCAAAUAACACAACUCUGGGCAGAUAGGUCACAAGUACCGUGAGGGAACGAUGAAAAGGACUUUGGAAAGAGAGUUAACAGUAUCUGAAUUUGUUGAGAGGGAAGUGGAUGAGAUCUCCAACGUUUGACGAGACAUGGGGUGUCAUUCGACCCGUCUUGAAACACGGACCAAGGAGUUUAACAGACGUGCGAGUUCCAGGAAAUGUGAUUUCUUCAAGCACAACGAAAGUGUAUGCUGGUAUCCGUGCACCAGCAACCGACUCUCACCUAGGAGUUGUUUGCGUGCGAGCAUGCCUGUUAAUACCCGAAAGAUGGUGAACUAUGCCCGUGGAGAGUGAGACCAGGGGAAAUUCUGGUGGAGGCUCGUAGCGAUACUGACGUGCAAAUCGUUCGUCACACAUGGGUAUAGGGGCGAAAGACUAAUCGAGCCAUCUAGUAGCUGGUUCCCUCCGAAGUUUCCCUCAGGAUAGUUGGUGUUGGAGAAUGUUAUCACGUAAAGCGAAUGAUUGGAGGAUUUGGGGGCGUGCAGUCUUCGACCUAUUCUCAAACUUUUAAAGGGUAAGUCCGCGAUUUUGCUCAAGUGAUUGUAUGCGGAUAGAUCUCAACAUCGAAUGGGCUAUUUUUGGUAAGCAGGAUUGGCGAUGAGGGAUGAACCUGACAU